CCUACGGGAGGCAGCAGUGGGGGAUAUUGCACAAUGGGGGAAACCCUGAUGCAGCGACGCCGCGUGUGGGCAGACGGUCCUCUGAAUUGUAAACCACUGUCACCAGGGACGAAGAUGACGGUACCUGGGAAGGAAGAUCCGGCUAACUACGUGCCAGCAGCCGUGGUAAUCCGGAGGGAGCGAGCGUUGUCCGGAGUUACUGGGUGUAAAGGGAGCGUAGGCGGGGAUGCAAGUUGGGUGUCAAAACUACCGGCUCAACUGGUAGGCGUACGCAAAACUGCAGCUCUUGAGGGCAGUAGAGGCAUGCGGAAGUCCUAGUGUAGCGGUGAAAUGCGUAGAUAUUAGGAGGAACACCAGUGGCGAAGGCGGCCUGCUGGGCUUUUACUGACGCUGAGGCUCGAAAGUGUGGGGAGCAAACAGGAUUAGAUACCCGGGUAGUC
rnacentral:rRNA from 1 species